AUGCAAAAAAGCAAAAUGGCUGUCUGGGGAGGCCUUACAAAUAGCUGUGAAAAGAAGAGAAGUGAAAAAAAAAAAGUGAAAAAAAAAAGAAAAAAAAGAAGAGAAGUGAAAAGCCAAGGAGAAAAGGAAAGAUAUAAGCAUCUGAAUGCAGAGUUCCAAAGAAUAGCAAGGAGAGAUAAGAAAGCCUUCUUCAGCGAUCAAUGCAAAGAAAUAGAGGAAAACAACAGAAUGGGAAAGACUAGAGAUCUCUUCAAGAAAAUUAGAGAUACCAAGGGAACAUUUCAUGCAAAGAUGGGCUCGAUAAAGGACAGAAAUGGUAUGGACCUAACAGAAGCAGAAGAUAUUAAGAAGAGGUGGCAAGAAUACACAGAAGAACUGUACAAAAAAGAUCUUCAUGACCCAGAUAAUCAUGAUGAUGUGAUCACUCAUCUAGAGCCAGACAUCCUGGAAUGUGAAGUCAAGUGGGCCUUAGAAAGCAUCACUACAAACAAAACUAGUGGAGGUGAUGGAAUUCCAGUUGAGCUGUUUCAAAUCCUGAAAGAUGAUGCUGUGAAAGUGCUGCACUCAAUAUGCCAGCAAAUUUGGAAAACUCAGCAGUGGCCACAGGACUGGAAAAGGUCAGUUUUCAUUCCAAUCCCAAAGAAAGGCAAUGCCAAAGAAUGCUCAAACUACCGCACAACUGCACUCAUCUCACACGCUAGUAAAGUAAUGCUCAAAAUUCUCCAAGCCAGGCUUCAGCAAUACGUGAACCGUGAACUUCCUGAUGUUCAAGCUGGUUUUAGAAAAGGCAGAGGAACCAGAGAUCAAAUUGCCAACAUUCACUGGAUCAUGGAAAAAGCAAGAGAGUUCCAGAAAAACAUCUAUUUCUGCUUUAUUGACUGUGCCAAAGCCUUUGACUGUGUGGAUCACAAUCAACUGUGGAAAAUACUGAAAGAGAUGGGAAUACCAGACCACCUGACCUGCCUCUUGAGAAAUCCGUAUGCAGGUCAGGAAGCAGCAGUUAGAACUGGACAUGGAACAGACUGGUUCCAAAUAGGAAAAGGAGUGCGUCAAGGCUGUAUAUUGUCACCCUCCUUAUUCAACUUAUAUGCAAAGUACAUCACGAGAAACGCUGCACUGGAAAAAACACAAGCUGGAAUCAAGAUUGCCAGGAGAAAUAUCAAUCACCUCAGAUAUGCAGAUGACACCACCCUUAUGGCAGAAAGUGAAGAACUAAAAAGCCUCUUGAUGAAAGUGAAAGAGGAGAGUGAAAAAGUUGGCUUAAAGCUCAACAUUCAGAAAAUGAAGAUCAUGGCAUCCGGUCCCAUCACUUCAUGGAAAAUAGAUGGGGAAACAGUAGAAACAGUGUCAGACUUUAUUUUGGGGGGCUCCAAAAUCACUGCAGAUGGUGAUUGCAGCCAUGAAAUUAAAAGAAGUUUACUCCUUGGAAGAAAAGUUAUGACCAACCUAGAUAGCAUAUUCAAAAGCAGAGACAUUACUUUGCUGACUAAGGUUGGUCUAGUCAAGGCUAUGGUUUUUCCUGUGGUCAUGUAUGGAUGUGAGAGUUGGACUGUGAAGAAGGCUGAGCGCCAAAGAAUUGAUGCUUUUGAACUGUGGUGUUGGAGAAGACUCUUGAGAGUCCCUUGGACUGCAAGGAGAUCCAACCAGUCCAUUCUGAGGGAGAUCAACCCUGGGAUUUCUUUGGAAGGAAUGAUGUUGAAGCUGAAGCUCCAGUACUUUGGCCACCUCAUGCGAAGAGCUGACUCACUGGAAAAGACUUUGAUGCUGGGAGGUAUUGUGGGCAGGAGAAGAAGGGAACGACAGAGGAUGAGAUGGCUGAAUGGCAUCACUGACUCGAUGGAUGCGAGCCUGAGUGAACUCUGGGAGUUGGUGAUGGACACGGAGGCCUGGCGUGCUGCGAUUCAUGGGGUCACAAAGAGUUGGACACGACUGAGCGACUGCACUGAACUGAACUGA
rnacentral:lncRNA from 1 species